UGCCUGCCAGCAAUGAGCAAGGAGAUACCUUGCCAGUGGUGUUUUUUAAUCAGUCAGGGGCAGAAGAGAUGGCAGUCCUUUGUUCAUCCUAGCUUGAUGCCUAGCUUGGUGGCCAAUACUAUCUUAUGCCUAGGACUUAUGA